rnacentral:lncRNA from 1 species
UAAAGUUAACUGUGCCGGUGGGCGGUGGCCAUACCCUCACCUCCUUCCCUCCCUACACCUGCAUAAAGUUGAAUUGGAUCCAGAGUCUCCCACUACUGCCAAUCACCAUGUCCUCGACGGCCGGCUCGGGCGCAGGUUCCCCACCUUCCUCACACUUCCUCCUCCUUCUAUUUGUCUCCCUCCCAUCUCUGCUCACUCUGCUAGAUCUCCUUGAUUGCCUUGCAGGGAUGCAGGUCAUGGUCGGCGAGUCGUAUGUCCAGAAGCUAUCCAGCGUCCGCCUCCAAUUCCACCCAGGCUAGCUAAUUUGUUUGUUCAGAAGCACAAAAAUACCAAGGUGCAUUCUGGAUACAGAAUCUAGACUUUGCUCUCUUCUGUUAUAUACAAGAAGCAGCUAGUACUUAAUUAGUAAUUUGGUAGUAGAAAGAUCGAUCUGCUAUUCCUGGACAUCAAGUAGCUUUAACAUAUGCUACAUACGAUUUAUGCAUUGAUGAAGGUACAUUGCGUGCAAAUUGAUUUGAGAAAUUGUUGUCGAGAUAGGUAAUUGAAUACUGUACUUGGGAACAAUUUCCCUUGAAGAUGUCUUGAGCUUUACUCCGGGUGCUCAAGUGAAACAAUUACUUCUCACCGAAGGUUCUGUUUCUAUCUUGGAUGGGAUAUGUAAAAUAUGCUUCCAGUCUAUGCAAUCUAGUAUUCCUUUUGUAUGUUUUUAAUGGUAAAAAAAUUCUAUUUUGUUUAGAUUGUUCCUUGGAUUUCUAAAUACGAAAGAGUGAUGCUCAAUGAGAUUAGGUCGUGCUAACACAUCAACAAUCAAUGCUGACAAGCCUCGACUAUAUAUUGCAGAAAUUAAGCACCUUGUUGAGCAAUUCGGAAAUGCAGGUAUGUCAGGAUCUGACGACAUGUAUUAUGGAGGGUGUACAUCACGUGUGUUUUUAUUCGAUGAUGAUGACUGCACUUGAGGUUUGGGUUUAGGCGGCGUUGCACUUGAGGUAGAUGAGGCAGCUGUGGAGGAGAACCUCUCCUUUUCUUGGUUUAUUUGUUUCAUGCCAAUUUGAUGAGUAUUCUGUGCCUUAUAUAGCAGCCAGACAACUAGAGAUACAGACAGAAUCGACUAGGACUCCUGAUUCGAAACAACAGCCAAUACUUGAAAAUAAAUAAAGCUAAUAAAUCCCAAGAUAGCCAGAUUUAUCUAAGUUCAUUUGGAUCCUACACAAGGUCCUGAUUAUCAACGCUGAAAGAUCGUGGAUGUCGCCUAGAGGGGGGGGGGGGUUGAAUAAGCGCUUUGAAAUAAUUACGGUUUAGGCUUGAACAAAUGCGGAAUAAACCUAGCGGUUAAUUUGUCAAGCACAAAACCUACAACAACUAGGCUCACCUAUGUGCACCAACAACUUAUGCUAAGCAAGAUAAACAACUAGAUGAUAGCAAGAUAUAUGACAAGAAACAAUAUGGCUAUCACAAAGUAAAGUGCCUAAGUAAAGGGCUCGGGUAAGAGAUAACCGAGGCACGCGGAGACGACGAUGUAUCCCGAAGUUCACACCCUUGCGGAUGCUAAUCUCCGUUUGGAGCGGUGUGGAGGCACAAUGCUCCCCAAGAAGCCACUAGGGCCACCGUAAUCUCCUCACGCCCUCGCACAAUGCAAGAUGCGUGAUUCCACUAAGGGACCCUUGAGGGCGGUCACUGAACCCGUACAAAUGGCAACCCCUGGGGGCGGUCACCGAACCCGUACACUUUGGCAACCCUUGGGGGCGGUCACCGGAACCCGUCAAAUUGCUCGGGGCGAUCUCCACAACCUAAUCGAAGACCCCGACGCUUGCCCGGAGCUUUACACCACAAUGAUUGAGCUCCGAACACAACCAACCGUCUAGAGCGCCCAAGCACCCAAGAGGAACAAGCUCAAGGGCACCAAGCACCCAAGAGUAAUAAGCUUCUCAACUUGUAACUUCCACGUAUCACCGUGGAGAACUCAAACCGAUGCACCAAAUGCAAUGGCAAGGGCACACGGAGUGCCCAAGUCCUUCUCUCUCAAAUCCCACCGAAGCAACUAAUGCUAGGGAGGAAAAUGAGAGGAAGAACAAGAAGGAGAACACCAAGAACUCCAAGAUCUAGAUCCAAUGGGUUCCCCUCACAUAGAGGAGAAAGUGAUUGGUGGAAAUGUGCAUCUAGAUCUCCUCUCUAUUUUCUCUCAAAAACUAGCAAGAAUCCAUGGAGGGAUUGAGAGUUAGCAAGCUCGAAGAAGGUCAACAAUGGGGGAAGAACACGAGAUCAAAGGAUAAGGUUCAUUGGGGAAGAAGACCUCCUUAUAUAGUGGGGGAACAAUCCAAUCGUUACCCCCACUCCAGCCCCGCAGAGAGCGGUACUACCGCUUGCCCCUAUAAGCGGUACUACCGCCCCCCUCGCGGUACUGCCGCUGGGCCCAGAGCGGUACUACCGCGGUGGCAGGGCGGUACUACCGCAUACGAGCAGUACUACGGCCCCCACUGCCGCGGCUAGUACCGUAAAACCCGACACGAAAAAAGACCCCUCGAAUCGAGGCGGUACUAGCAUGAGACCGUAGCGGUACUACGGCUGGGGGCCACCAGCGGUACUACUGCUCUGGAGCGGUACUACCACUCUAGAGCGGUACUACCGCUUGUAGCACCCAAGCGGUACUACCGCUCCGGCCCGCGGUACUACCGCUGGGACCAAAACUGCCAUAACUUCUGCAUAUGAGCUCCGAAUUGAGCAAACUCAAGCUUGUUGGAUAGAGGAAGACGAGUAGCAUCAAAACAGCUCCGAAUUGAGCAAACUCAAGCUUGUUAUAGUAAGAAGAGGCAGGGGAGGUAUGCCAACAAAUAGAGGAGUGAAACCUCCAACCGAGAAGAACCGGCAUAACCUCCAACAUCGAAAACAUCAUAGAAGAUGUGAGUGAACUCCGUUUUCGAUGAACUCGAGCUUGUCAUCAAGAUGACCAUAAGCUCCAAAACUCACAAAGAGAAGAACCAAACAAGAACCAAUAAACAUGAUGCAAGGAUGCAAUGGUUUGAGCUCUCUAUGAACGAUACGAUCAAGCUACUCAUCGAGAGCUCCCCUUGAUAGUACGGCAAUCGAUCCUAUAACCCGGUCUCCCAACUACCAUCAUGAGACCGGUAAAAUAGACAACCUAUCAAGAGCAAACCUUUGCCUUGCACAUGGUCCACUUGAGCUAGAUGAUGACGAUCUUGACUCCCUCAAGUUGGACCACCUUUCUUGGUUGCGUUGGCUCGAUGAAGACUAGUUGAUUGCUCCCCCAUGCUCCACUAUGGGUGAGCCACUCUUCCGCACAUCUUCACACGUCCAUUGUCACCACAAUGGCUUCAAGCAUUUGAUCUCUUCGUGAUGCUUUACUUGAACUUGCCCGCUUCACUUGAACUUGCACACUGCAACCUAACCCCACAAAGAACUCUCACAAAGACCAUGGGUUAGUACACAAAGCGUAAUUGACAAUGCUUACCAUACCAUGGGAUCGCUUGAUCCCUCGGUACAUCUUGUGCGCUUUGUGUGUUGAUCAACUUGAUUCACUCUUGACUUAGUCUUGAUCAACCUUGACUCUUUCCAACUCUCUUCAUUUGGAUGAUGUCUUGAAGGUAAACAUGAAUGAUCACACAAUCUUUUUCUUCAAGACAUGCUUGCAAUAAGCUCAACUCUCACAUGACCAAUCUUUGGAUAAUUCCUUAAUAACACCUUGGUCACCACAUAAACUCCUUGAAACCAACACAUGGACUUCAAGAAAUGCCUAUGGACAAAUCCUUCAAAUAUAACUCAAGGCAACCAUUGGUCCAUAGAGAUUGUCAUCAAUUACCAAAACCAAACAUGGGGGCACCGCAUGUUCUUUCAAACGCUUUUUAGGUCCCUUGAUGUGCGGCGGUGCAGACAGCCAUACUGUUUGCCCCUCAUGGCAAGAUAUGAGUCUUACCCAUUGAUAUAGUGCUCUAUUUGUUCAGAGAAUGGUACAAUUAUCUUCCACAAUAGGAUUGGAGAUUGUCUCGGGUCUGCUUUAUUUCUGCCUGAUGUACUUCUCACUAUGUGGUUUGCAAAAUCAGCCAUCUUCACACACAGUUAAGGACUUCUUAGCAUGCCACACUGCCACUGUAUUAUCCACUGUUAAUUUUCUAACCUUUGAAACUGACCUGCUAUUAUCUCUACAACUGACUGAGACAUUGUGGUGAUUAUUCUGCCAACCACAUUUGUACAUCAUGUGUGUUUUUAUUCGAUGAUGAUGACUGCACCCUAUAGUGAAACUCUAUCAGAAGUUGGAAAUGUACCUAGUUAGUUUGUCUAGAUCAUGAGAUGCUGACCAGGCAUUCUGCAGUCUGCGGUUCUAAUAGCAUAUUUUCUCAAAGGAUUGUGAUUUUUGUGAAUUUCUCAUGUGCCCUAUGGGCUGGGUAUGUUAUAUUCUGGUGUGUGUUGGUCUCCUUCUUUAAUCAAUUGGAUUAGUUUUUCAGCAUUUUAUGCCUCUUGGGUCUCAUGCUUUCUUCAUCUCCUCUUCUUUUCAGUGUCAUUUGGAUAUGUUCAUAGUCAAUGUCCACUGAAAAGUGAGAAGAUUUCAGAGAACUCGUGAAACACAAUGGCUAGCGAGAUCCAUCUUUCAUUAGCUACAACUGAACCACCGUCAAAAGGUUGAACUGUUCUUCAUAUCUUUUCAUUUCUUUUAGCACCACCUCUCCCCAUACCGUCUACUUUCAGCUUCCCAGUUAACGAAUUAUAGGCCAAAUAGAUAUACCAAUCAUUUUGUAUUAAUAUAUUAUUCUUCCCUGCUACCUAUAGUGCCAUAAUCAUCUAUGGCUGAAGAUACUAAGAAGAAGAACCAAUCACUAGAAGCAUCCCCUAAUAUAUACGGCAGCACAAUCUUAUAAACCACAUCUUUCAGUUCUGCCUCGUCAAUUUCAUAGUGCAGUUGCUAUGCAAGCUUGGUUUUUAUCAUUUAUAGUGAGCCUCCAUUUCAAAGUUCUCUUCUGUUGGGAUCAUCAUGAAAUCUCAUUUUGUACUAUUUUUAAUACAUCACCUCUUAGUUUUGAAUUUCUUUUGUAUACUAUUCAAUUAAUGACAACAAGAGUUAACGUGAUUGUACAUUGAUGCACACUUCAUAUAUCCUUGCAAAUUUUAAUAUAAAUGCCUAGGAACCCAUUUUAGUUCUAAUAGCCAAUCCACGAUCCUUUUCUUAUUACCCGAUAGUGUUGCUACUACAAAUUCUACCCCUGGUGCAAUUGGAACUUUGCAACUUCUAUUAAUACAUCUAGCAGUAGAUUGACAAGGAUUCAGCCACAUUUGCAGGCAUAUUAGCCGUUAACUCAGUCACUAUUGUAGAAGGAUGCAGGUAUGAGCACACAAUAAUGGAACUAAUGUUGCUAUGAACUUUGUAAGCCCCUAAAGUAUUGUUUCUGACGCUGAACUAGCUACAUAUAUUUUAAAAAUCUUAAGGUAUUUGAUGUAUAAAUACAAUCUGGUCGUCUCCUUUGGCAACUCCAAACUUACUUUUUGUGUACCGAGUUUCUGCUGUACUGUAAGUUAGGGUGUUUGUACAGCAGUAUAUUGGCUUAG